rnacentral:rRNA from 1 species
AUUGAACGCUGGCGGCAUGCCUUACACAUGCAGGUCGAACGGUAACAGGUCUUCGGAUGCUGACGAGUGGCGAACGGGUGAGUAAUACAUCGGAACGUGCCUAGUAGUGGGGGAUAACUACUCGAAAGAGUGGCUAAUACCGCAUGAGAUCUACGGAUGAAAGCAGGGCAUCGCAAGACCUUGUGCUACUAGAGCGGCCGAUGGCAGAUUAGGUAGUUGGUGGGAUAAAAGCUUACCAAGCCGACGAUCUGUAGCUGGUCUGAGAGGACGAUCAGCCACACUGGGACUGAGACACGGCCCAGACUCCUACGGGAGGCAGCAGUGGGGAAUUUUGGACAAUGGGCGCAAGCCUGAUCCAGCAAUGCCGCGUGCAGGAUGAAGGCCUUCGGGUUGUAAACUGCUUUUGUACGGAACGAAAAGCCCUGGGUUAAUACCCUGGGGUCAUGACGGUACCGUAAGAAUAAGCACCGGCUAACUACGUGCCAGCCGCCGCCGUAA